rnacentral:rRNA from 1 species
UGUAAAUUUGGUGCGGGGAGGCGUGGUUAUAUGAGCGUGUCGAGCUGUAGUGGGAAUCAGUGGGCUUACAGGGGGCGGAGGAGGUUUGUUAAGGAGGGUGUGAAAGCCCCCGGCGCAACCGGGGAAUUGCGCCCUAAACUGGCGAGCUGGAGUGAGAUAGGGGUGUGUGGAACUUCCGGUGGAGCGGGGAAAUGUGUUGAUAUCGGAAGGAACGCCGGUGGCGAAAGCGACACACUGGAUCUUGUCUGACGCUGAGGCACGAAAGCCAGGGGAGCGAACGGGAUUAGAUACCCUGGUAGUC